rnacentral:miRNA from 1 species
UUUCUUUUGUGUAUUUUUUUGAGAUAGGGUCUCUCUAUGUAGUUCAGGCUGGCCUUUAACUCACUAUCUAGCCCAGGCUGGCCUCUAACUCAUGGCAAUCCUCCUGCCUUGGCCUC